UAUUCAUGUUUAUGUUUGUAAGAGCUGAUUGUAUUAUGUUAUCUAUCUGUUCUGUAGCUCUUACGGUGUUUCACUAAGAAAAGGUUUCUCAUCAAGGAAAGGUAGAUUUUGUGUUUCCCAAAGGAAAGGCUGACGGCUGAACACAAAAUAAAGUCUUUUUGAAACAUCAGUACGCUUCACCAUUGUCUGGCUAGAGAACAUCAUAAAGAUUUCACUGUGUGAAUUUUUACCUCGGAUCAGUAGAACUGCCUUUAAAGUUAAAUGGACGAUUCAUCGAUGCUUCACUCUUCAUGGACACACA